rnacentral:rRNA from 1 species
UAGGGAAUCUUCGGCAAUGGGGGGAACCCUGACCGAGCAACGCCGCGUGAGUGAAGAAGGUUUUCGGAUCGUAAAGCUCUGUUGUUAAGGAAGAACGAGUGUGAGAAUGGAAAGUUCAUGCUGUGACGGUACUUAACCAGAAAGGGACGGCUAACUACGUGCCAGCAGCCGCGGUAAUACGUAGGUCCCGAGCGUUGUCCGGAAUUACUGGGCGUAAAGGGUUCGCAGGCGGCAUGACAAGUCCGAUGUAAAAGGCGAAAGCUCAACUUUCGUAAGCAUCGGAAACUGUCAAGCUUGAGUGAAGGAGAGGAAAGUGGAAUUCCUAGUGUAGCGGUGGAAUGCGUAGAUAUUAGGAGGAAUACCGGUGGCGAAGGCGACUUGCUGGACUUCAACUGACGCUGAGGAACGAAAGCGUGGGUAGCAAACAGG